CCUACGGGUGGCUGCAGUGGGGAAUAUUGGACAAUGGGCGCAAGCCUGAUCCAGCAAUGCCGCGUGUGUGAAGAAGGCCUGCGGGUUGUAAAGCACUUUCAGUGGGGAGGAAGGCCUCGAUAUUAAUACUAUUGAGGAUUGACGUUACCCACAGAAGAAGCACCGGCUAACUCUGUGCCAGCAGCCGCGGUAAUACAGAGGGUGCAAGCGUUAAUCGGAAUUACUGGGCGUGGAUGCUGCAGUCAGAGGUGAAAGCCCCGGGCUCAACCUGGGAAUUGCAUUUGAUACUGAGGAACUUGAGUAUGGUAGAGGGAAGUGGAAGUUCCAGUGGAGCGGUGAAAUGCGUAGAUAUUGGAAGGAACAUCAGUGGCGAAGGCGACUUCCUGGACCAUUACUGACACUGAGGCACGAAAGCGUGGGGAGCGAACAGGAUUAGAUACCCUAGUAGUC
rnacentral:rRNA from 1 species